UACGUAGGGUGCAAGCAUUAAUCGGAGUUAUUGGGCGUAAAGGGUGCGUAGGCGGUUUUGUAAGUCUGUCUGUGAAAUUCCUGGGCUCAACCUAGGAGCUGCAGGGGAAACUACAAAACUCGAGGAUGGACGGAGAGAAUGGAAUUCCACAAGUAGCGGUGAAAUGCGUAGAUAUGUGGAAGAACACCAGUGGCGAAGGCGAUUCUCUAGUUUAUUCCUGACGCUGAGGCACGAAAGCAAGGGGAGCAAACAGG
rnacentral:rRNA from 1 species